AGCAUCCACAUACACAUACUUAUUACCCAGAAAGAUUUUUAUUUAGGAUAUUCUUGGAAAAAGGAAACAGUGUGAAUGAAUGCAUCUAUAACCAGCAGUCUAGUAUUCUGAGUACCAAAUACAACCAUGCAAUCAUGUGUAAAUGAUAGAUCCUCCGCUGACAAAGCAUUGUGGGUGUUGUACAACAAAUGAGGAUCUACAUUUUGGUCAUCCUGGCAAUAAGUGCUAAAACAAUUCUUACACAAGGGUCCACUUUACAUUAGUUCCACCACUGCCCUAAUGCCU